CGUGCUUAACACAUGCAAGUCGAACGAUGAAGCCUUUCGGGGUGGAUUAGUGGCGAACGGGUGAGUAACACGUGGGCAAUCUGCCCUUCACUCUGGGACAAGCCCUGGAAACGGGGUCUAAUACCGGAUAACACUCUGUCCUGCAUGGGACGGGGUUAAAAGCUCCGGCGGUGAAGGAUGAGCCCGCGGCCUAUCAGCUUGUUGGUGGGGUAAUGGCCUACCAAGGCGACGACGGGUAGCCGGCCUGAGAGGGCGACCGGCCACACUGGGACUGAGACACGGCCCAGACUCCUACGGGAGGCAGCAGUGGGGAAUAUUGCACAAUGGGCGAAAGCCUGAUGCAGCGACGCCGCGUGAGGGAUGACGGCCUUCGGGUUGUAAACCUCUUUCAGCAGGGAAGAAGCGAAAGUGACGGUACCUGCAGAAGAAGCGCCGGCUAACUACGUGCCAGCAGCCGCGGUAAUACGUAGGGCGCAAGCGUUGUCCGGAAUUAUUGGGCGUAAAGAGCUCGUAGGCGGCUUGUCACGUCGGAUGUGAAAGCCCGGGGCUUAACCCCGGGUCUGCAUUCGAUACGGGCUAGCUAGAGUGUGGUAGGGGAGAUCGGAAUUCCUGGUGUAGCGGUGAAAUGCGCAGAUAUCAGGAGGAACACCGGUGGCGAAGGCGGAUCUCUGGGCCAUUACUGACGCUGAGGAGCGAAAGCGUGGGGAGCGAACAGGAUUAGAUACCCUGGUAGUCCACGCCGUA
rnacentral:rRNA from 1 species